rnacentral:rRNA from 1 species
UUUUUUCUUCCCCUUUUUUAUAGCUUAAGUUCAGCGGGUAUUCC